rnacentral:miRNA from 15 species
UCCUGGUUCCACUGAAAUAAU